rnacentral:misc_RNA from 1 species
UUGAUAAUUUAAAAAUAUCGACUCAGAUAAUACUCGAAACAGUAAGAAAGAGUUUGUGGUUGCGUCCCUCCGACGGCCGGACCGGGAGCCAGUGCCUGUCCCGUGAGGGGCAGGCAGAGAGAGCCCAGAACCGCCGCCGAAGCAACGAGAGAGAGGUAUGUUCACAGUGGGUUUCGAACUAGAAAAGCAAACUCGGUAAUGAUCCCUCCGCUGGUUCACCAACGGAGA